AUUGGACAAUGGAGGCACUCUGAUCCAGCCAUGCCGCGUGAAGGAAGACGGCCUUAUGGGUUGUAAACUUCUUUUGUACAGGAAGAAACCUUUCCACGUGUGGAAAGCUGACGGUACUGUAAGAAUAAGGAUCGGCUAACUCCGUGCCAGCAGCCGCGGUAAUACGGAGGAUCCAAGCGUUAUCCGGAAUUAUUGGGUUUAAAGGGUCCGCAGGCUGUUUGUUAAGUCAGAGGUGAAAUCCUACCGCUCAACGGUAGAACUGCCUUUGAUACUGGCAAACUUGAGUUAUUGUGAAGUAGUUAGAAUGUGUAGUGUAGCGGUGAAAUGCAUAGAUAUUACACAGAAUACCGAUUGCGAAAGCAGAUUACUAACAAUGUACUGACGCUGAGGGACGAAAGCGUGGGUAGCGAACAGGAUUAAAUACCCUGGUAGUCCACGCCGUAAACGAUGGGCACUAGCUGUUUGAUGUACAUUGGUACAUUGAGUGGCUAAGCGAAAGUGAUAAGUGACCCACCUGGGGAGUACGCUCGCAAGAGUGAAACUCAAAGGAAUUGACGGGGGCCCGCACAAGCGGUGGAGCAUGUGGUUUAAUUCGAUGAUACGCGAGGAACCUUACCAGGACUUAAAUGUAAGUUGCAUGAUUCAGAAAUGGAUCUUUCUUCGGACUACUUACAAGGUGCUGCAUGGUUGUCGUCAGCUCGUGCCGUGAGGUGUCAGGUUAAGUCCUAUAACGAGCGCAACCCCUAUCGUUAGUUGCCAUCAAGUAAAGUUGGGAACUCUAGCGAAACUGCCGGUGCAAACCGUGAGGAAGGUGGGGAUGACGUCAAAUCAUCACGGCCCUUACGUUCUGGGCUACACACGUGCUACAAUGGCCGGUACAGAAAGCAGCCACUAUGCGAAUAGGAGCUAAUCUUCAAAGCCGGUCUCAGUUCGGAUCGCAGUCUGCAACUCGACUGCGUGAAGCUGGAAUCGCUAGUAAUCGGAUAUCAGCCAUGAUCCGGUGAAUACGUUCCCGGGCCUUGUACACACCGCCCGUCAAGCCAUGGAAGCUGGGGGUACCUAAAGUCGGUGACCGAAAGGAGCCGCCUAGGGUAAAACUAGUAACUGGGGCUAAGUCGUAACAAGGUAGCCGUACCGGAAGGUGCGGCUGGAAUACCUCCUUUCU
rnacentral:rRNA from 1 species